GAUGAACGCUGGCGGCGUGCCUAAUACAUGCAAGUCGAACGAGUUCUGAUUAUUGAAAGGUGCUUGCAUCUUGAUUUAAUUUUGAACGAGUGGCGGACGGGUGAGUAACACGUGGGUAACCUGCCCUUAAGUGGGGGAUAACAUUUGGAAACAGAUGCUAAUACCGCAUAAAUCCAAGAACCGCAUGGUUCUUGGCUGAAAGAUGGCGUAAGCUAUCGCUUUUGGAUGGACCCGCGGCGUAUUAGCUAGUUGGUGAGGUAACGGCUCACCAAGGCAAUGAUACGUAGCCGAACUGAGAGGUUGAUCGGCCACAUUGGGACUGAGACACGGCCCAAACUCCUACGGGAGGCAGCAGUAGGGAAUCUUCCACAAUGGACGCAAGUCUGAUGGAGCAACGCCGCGUGAGUGAAGAAGGCUUUCGGGUCGUAAAACUCUGUUGUGGAGAAGAAGGUCGGCAGAGUAACUGU
rnacentral:rRNA from 2 species